GCUGACUCUCUUUUCGGACUCAGCCCGCCUGCACCCAGGUGAAAUAAACAGCCAUGUUGCUCACACAAAGCCUGUUUGGUGGUCUCUUCACAGGGACACGGAUGAAAUUUGGUGCCGUGACUCGGAUCGGGGAACCUCCCUUAGGAGAUCAAUCCCCUGUACUCCUUUUCUUUGCCCUGUGAGAAAGAUCCACCUAUGACCUCAGGUCCUCAGACCGACCAGCCCAAGGAACAUCUCACCAAUUUUAAAUCAGAGACCUUGAAGAUUUGUUGUUCAAGGAGAAACUGAAGAGCAAGAAGGAAAGUGAGAGCCAGCAAUACCAGCAGAGCCAGAUCUGAGCUGGGAGAAGGGGAGAAAGUUUGUGAAGAGGAGAUCGGUGACCUGGGCUCCUUAUGUGCCUGAAAGAGUUUGAGUUUCCUGUUAACUCCAAAUCAACAGUAUUUUCAACAAGAAAUGUGCAAUUGAAAUCAAGUGCUGUUUAAGUGCAGCUAGGAUUUCCACAGGAAGACACUUGCAGUGAACAGAGUUAUGGAGCAGCAAAAACACAGAUCUAUUUGGAAAAAGAGAAAACAUAUGCGUUGUAUUUUGCUUCAAUUAUAAAAUACCAUCCUCUCAAAGGUGGUUCUAAAUUACAAAGGACUUUGAUUUCUAGGUAGAUUCUGGGUAGAGACUUCCUUUCAUAUUGAGGCAUUAAUGACACCUUUUAACCUGGGAAGCAAUAUGACUGGAGUUGUACUUUGAGAAGAUUAAUCAGGUUUGGUUGCAGAAUGAAAGAGAAGAUGAAGUCAAGAGAUUGGUUUAGAGGCUCUAGCAGAAGCUUAGUCAUAUUUCAAAAUGAUCAAAUAUCAAGAAAAAUUCUGAGCUGCAUAACUUGUAUAAAGUAAUUUUCAGUGAUUUUUUUCAUGGUUAUGAUAAAAGAACUGGAUUAGCAGAAACUUUUACCCUGAAUCAAGAUUUAAUUUUUCUUUGAGCUCAUCUUAAGGAUAUCGGAACAUAGGGAGCAAACGAUGGUGUGGCUGCCUCAGUGCUUGAUUUUUAACGGUUUUGAAGAGAAUAGUUACAUUUCUUCUCCUAGUAAGAACUAAUAAAUACAUUAACAGAAAUGAAUUCCCUAUCCCUUUGUACACUGGUCUAUUUCUUCAAAACAUUAAAUACUAUUGAUAAGAU
rnacentral:lncRNA from 1 species